UUGAAGAAAAAGGAUCCAGAAGGAGAAGACGUUUGGCUUAUACCCCAGUUGAGCUGCCUGUGGGAGUGGAGCCGGAGCUUCGCUAGAUUUUAUUUUCCGCUGCAGUUUUCUUCUUGAAGAGGAGUUUCUCAGUGAAGGUGAUGAUCUGGAGGAAUAGGCUUGUUCUCGGUUAAAAUGCCUGUGGAGUGGAGUCGCCAUAGCUGUUCCGUAGUUUGUUAUAGUUUUUUUUCCGCUGCGUAGAAUAUUAUUUCUUGAGAGGAACUAUCUACCUCUGUAAUAAUUUUAAUUUGCGAAUAUUCGAUAGUUAUUUAUUUGUACUCUAUUAUCAAUAUUGUCAUUGUGUGCCUCGGUUGAUUCCUGGACGAGGGUUUAACACACAUGUAAGCGUUUGGAAUUUUGGAUAGAAAUUCUGGGCGUGACACUGCUGAUGACAGGGAGUAGAUCCACUUGAUUGGAUUGCAGGGUGAGGUAAAGGAAUGGAUCCAUCGGAUUUUCUUCCGGUCAGGUUUCACUAUAGUGGGGAAUUCAUGUUUUCUAGGGGGCAAUUGCAUUAUGUGGCAGAGCGUACUGCAUUGUCAUACAUAGAGCUUGACAAGAUAUCUUUACCUGAGAUUAUAGGUUUCUUCGGUGACCACAUGCCAGUUAGUGGUUUAUUACACUUGCAUUGGCUGUAUCCUGGAAAGCAGUUGUCAGAUGGGCUAAGGUUUUUGCUUGAUGACAAUGCUUGCAUAGAAAUGGCAAAUCAUAUGUCUAAUAAUGGUCAAGUUGCAGAAAUUUAUGUUGAGCAUAUAGCAAUUGAUGAGGGGCAAGAUGAUAAUUAGAUUGCUGAUUGGGGCUAUGACAUGGCAGAAGCUAACGAUGAAGCGAAAUCAGAUUCAGAGGCAGAGCUACAUCUUACUGUUGUUCUAUGUACAGAUAAGAAGGGAAAAUUGAAACCAAGAAGAGCAUCAUCUCAAAUUCUAGAGAAGCCUAAAGAUGUAGAUGGGCCUGAAAAUAAGAGCAACCCUGAAGGGCAAGUAUCUGAUAGUUCAGACUCUGAUUAUAGGCAGCCUAUAGAGCAAAAUAGCUCUGAUAAUGAUGAGGAAGCUGAACAACUUUGGAAAUUUGCAAAGGAAAUCAAGAGAAACAUCAGGGCAAGGAAGCUAGGAGUGCAUAGCAACCAGGCUGUAGAGAUACUUGAUGAUGCAAACUUGAUCUCAAGCUGAACAACUUGAUGUAUUGGUUUAUUGGGUUGCUACAAAAAGAUCUCAAUAUAAAUGAUGGAGGUGAAGGAUGGGUGAUAAUUUCUGACCAGCAAAAGAUAUGCUUUUUAACUGUUUAUCUUUUAACAAAAUGUGCAAUGGGUCAUAAGUUGUAAUAAAUAUUUUGAAUUUUGUCUUGUAGGGACUCUUAAGGGCAGCGGCUGAGCUUAUCCCUAGAGUAGAACAUAGGAUAUGUGCAAGGCAUAUAUAUGCAAACUGGAGGAAAAGGUACACUAAUCAGAAGCUUCAGAAAAAGUUUUGGAACUGUACAAAGUCAUCUUGUAGGGAGCUUUUCAACUACAAUAGAGCAAAGCUAGCACAAGACACCCCUCAAGGAGCUAAGGACAUGAUGACCACCGCACUUGAACAUUGGAGCAGGGCAUUCUUUCAGCUAGGGUCCAAUUGUGAAUCCGUUAAUAACAACAUGUGUGAGUCUUUCAACAACUCUAUCAUGGAUUCAAGGUUCUUUCCAGUCAUCUCUAUGAAUGAGGACAAAGGCAGAUAAGUGGCAAGGUACAAUAUGCCCAAACAUAUUCAAGAAGCUGAAAGUCAACAUUGAGAGAUCUGGCCAGUGUUAUGUGUUGUGAAAUGGACAGCAUGGAUUUGAGGUUCAAGAGAAAGAGAAGAGGAAGUACACGAUCAACUUAGAACAGAAAACAUGCAGCUGCAGUUAUUGGCAACUAUCAGGACUACCAUGUUGUCAUGCUAUCAGUGCAAUAUACAAGGCAUCAAAACAAUUGGAUGACUACAUAGCAUCAAGUUUCUCUAUCUUAGAGUACAUGAAGACAUACCAACAUUGCUUGUAGCCAGUUGAAGGGAAGGACAAAUGGCCAGUUUCUGACAUGCCAAAGCCACAUCCACUUGCUUAUGUUAAAAUGCUCAGGAGGCCCAAAACUCAGAGAACAAGAGAGCCAACUGAGAAACCUAAGGGAGCUAAGCUAAGCAAGGUUGGCAUCAAGAUGAGAUGUAAAUUGUGCCACCAAACUACUCAUAACAGCCGGACCUGUGCUCGGAAUAAAGAAGCUGGGAGUAAGAAGAAUGGUUAUAUCAGGAGGGAUGCUACAAGAAAACGGAAGCAAAGUGGGGUCUGCUGCUGCUACCUCAUUCACCAUGGGUGAUGUGGGCACCCAACAGAGCAUUAGCAGAAGCUCUCUGCCUCCAAGUGUUGCUACUCCAAGCUCUGUUCCACUUGUGCAACAGAAGUGCAGGAAGAGGGCUAGACCAGCUUGAAACACUUCGAGACUUGCCCACCUACUGUUUUACUCCAUCAUAUGGAACUAUAACCAAAGAUGUGUGUUGGGGAAAGAUGAGAUAUUUGUCUUUUUUAUCAGGAAUUAAAUGCAUCCUACUACAUGUCUCUUGUUUUGUGAGAGACACUUGCUACCCUGUUUUGUCAGACCUGAUUGCUACUUAGUUUUUUUUCUACUUGUUUCAUGAAAGAUUGUGGAGCAUAUUUGUGUGUGUAAAUGGUUUGUCUAAAAAUUUAUAUUCCGCCUCUUAUUUUGUUCGUGCUACUGAA